CCGUCCAUGUGUGUUCAGUUAUGUUUGCUGAGCUGCCGCUAUUGAACAAUCGCUUGCUUUGUGUUUAACGUGCGGCAGGAACUGUUCCAAGGACUUCAUAGAGAUAAGCUCAGCGCAUCCCCCAUGAAUCUUCAAGACACCAAUUCUCCUGCUGUGGAGACUGAAGCAGAGGACUGGGAACUCACCUGAGAUCCCACCACAGGUGGAGCAGCAAAGCCAGAGAGCAAGACCCAGGGUCGAGAUUCUGUUUGGUGAGUGACUGAACAUGGUGGCAUUGGAAAAGGUUGCUGAGUUUGGAGCCUGAGAACUUGGAUCUCUGCUGCUGGAAAGGAAAAUGUUUGGACAUGCUCAUCUGCAUUCAGAUGUGUUCUCUCCCACUGUCUGCUGAGGAGCAAUGGGAAGACUCACAAGCUAUAGUGAGAGACGGUGACGGUGACAGUGACGACCAUAACAACAACCACAGUGGUGCUGACAGAGACUGCGAGGAUGCUGAUGAUGGCAAUGAUUCUGUAGACUAAUGCGGUCCCCUUGCCUCGUUCACCCUGACUGAUCAAAUGCAACGUUUUAUCCACCAGAUUCAGAAAAGACGCUCUGACCUUGACCUCAGCGGAGUGACAGCCACAGUGUUGCUUAUUAAGCGCUCACUGUAUGCAUGGUCUGGGCUAGGCUCCUUCCAUUCUGACUCCAGUGGUAGGAGACAAAUGCUCUUUGUACACAUACUUUACAGUUUGCAAAGGUUGAGUUACUAAGAGGAAUGAAUUGUGGGCCGGAGUUUAGAAACGGAGUGGAAGAGACUCAGGCUCCAGGAAUGAUGGGUAACAGCAGUGCCACCUCUGUCACCAGAAAUGGGGAGCUGGGACUACACAUUGUCUUAGGCGUUGGGCAGGAUGGGGCAAACCCCUUUGAACUAUGCCUGUGAGGAGCAUUUGUGGGUACCCGGCCUGUGGCACCUGAUUUAGCUGCUAGAGAAUGAAGAGGGACGGAGGCUUGAGAGGUACUGUGUCUGCGUGUCCCCUGGGGAAUGUGGCAGCCUUUGCAUUUUUGUGGCAUGAAGCGGAAAUUUGAGAUAAUAAAGAAAAGGGGGAAAGAGAGACAGAAAUAAGAAAGAAAAAGCAAGGAAACAAUAAACUGUUAGCAUCUCAUAGGCGCCAGGCUGGGCGAGGAAACCGCUAAUGAGCCCCAGCUUCUAAUUCAAACCAGACAGAUAAAAGCCACGUGGUCCUGGUCCCAGUGAGCAUGGAGUGCAUCCCCACCCCCCAAAGCCCAGGCUGGGGUGCUCUGCCCAGAGAAGAGCAACCUCAGCUGCUGUCUGCCUAGCCCCCCAGCAAGCCUGAGUGAUGACGCCCCAGUCGGCCUGCUCUGGAGAUCUAUAAAGACAUGAACUUCAGCUCACUUCCUCUAAAUGCAUAUUAAUUUGUUUAACCAACUUCCUUGUAUUUUGACUAUUAGGCCAGGAGUUCACCCUUCCAAGUACUCUGACUUCCUUGUAAAAAUUUCAGAAGCAGGAGCCUGGGCAAACUACAGUUGGGAGUCCAGGAGUGGAACCCAGCGUCAUCUGCACCCAACAGACAGAGAAUUAACCUCUGUGUGCCUGGCUUAGUUUCCUCAGUGCUCCCCAACUCAUCCCUAGCGACAGCCUGCCUAUUAGUCUCAUAACUAACACACAGCAGCUCUCUCUCUCUCUCUCUCUCUCUCUCUCUCUCUCUCUCUCUCUGUGUGUGUGUGUGUGUGUGUGUGUGUGUGUGUCUGACUCUGUACCACCCCCACCUGCGCAUCCAUCCAUGAGUAUCAAGGCCAACUCCACAUCUUGGUUGUGGGGCAUCACACCGCCAUGAGCAUGGGGAGCAGGAUUUCCUCCACAUUGAGAUCUCAUGUUUCCGAAUAAAUACCCAGAGAGGGAUUCCUGUACCAGAAGCUGGCUCCAUUUUAAUGUUCUGAAGCACCUCAAUGUUGCUCACCACCUAGGUGCUCAUCUGCAUUCCCAGAUGUUCCUCCUCCACGUCCUUGCUACUGUGGACUCUAACAACCCCGUUCCUGCAGGUACAUCCAAAGGAGAGGAAGUCAGCCUGACCCUCCCGUGUUCCCUGUACCUCUAGCCACAGUAGCUCAGAUCCAGACUCAACCUAGGGAAUGACUGGAUAGAGAAAAUGUAGUAUCAUUAUAACCAUUGUGCUGGCUAACACUGAUAUCAACAGGACAGGAUCCCCUAGGAGAUACAGCCCUGGGCCUGGCUGUGAGGGAAUCUCUAGACGAGGCUAACUGAAGUGGCAAAGACCCACCCUGAAUGUGUACAGCAGCAGCAUCCCCAUGGGCUGG